rnacentral:misc_RNA from 1 species
CAAAGGAGAGUCCGCGCUCCCUCACCUUACACCAGGAAUAAUUACUCUCCUACAACAUUUACAAUGUAGCAACGCUGCGCUCAGUAUAAUAAUAUUUUUUGUCAUGCAUGGGGGCAAACAUUAAUAAAUUAGCCGGGUGCUUAGAAGAUUGUAUUGAGAUACAGAGUUAGCAGACGAAGAUCAGAGGCCGAUGGAAAGAUGGCCGACUCGAUGAAAUAUGUAAAGUUAAAGCGAAGUGAAACGUGUGGUUUUGGGUUUUCUAUCCUUGGAGGAGCUGGCUCUGAACUCCCGCCAAUCAUAUAUGACAUCAUUGAAGGCUCCCCAGCAGCAAACUCGUGUCAGCUGGCUCCAGGUGACAUCAUAUGGGAAGUCAAUGGGCAAGAGGUUAACACAUUCACUACAAAGGAAGUUCUCAAUUGUCUUCGUUUAUCAACUUCAGAAGUGACACUCAAAUUAAAAACUGAUGUUGGAAUUCAGCAGCGUGUGCAGCAGUACCUAGCGACACCAAACAAUCCUGAUGUAUUACGAACAGCAAUCACUCAGGAUGACCUGCAAGGUAUAAAACACAUUAAGGCAAAAAAAUCUUCCAGCAGAACACCACCUGAACAGUCCUCAUCAUCACCACCUUCCCUUCCAAGUCCUACACUCUCUGAUGCCUCUGACAGAACAUCUAUCAGUCAUGGGUCAAACCAUACAACUUCGGAGAAUGGUUUGCAUUUAAAAGAUAGAACAACAACAGAAAAUGAGCGAAACAAGCAGAAGAAACCCAGAAGUGAAGCAUACUUGAUGACAGGUGACCUUAUCUUGAAUCUCUCACGGACUUCCCAUGAUCCCAGUUGGCUACCUCAGCAGAAAACUGUUGACGAUUUGCGAAAGUCAGGUAGCGCCAGUGUUCCAACAAGUCCUAAUGAAACAGACAUUUGUGGUAGCAGGUUAGCCAAACAUGAAGUGGGAAGUCCGCAGAGUUUGUGUUCGCCUGUGUCUGUUGAUAGUAAUGCUAGUGGUGUGCAAUUUACUUACCCCCCAACCAGCACUUCCGUGAGAAUCUCCAAAUCGGAAGAUCACUUGCAAUACCAGAAGGAUAAUAUGUGUGCAGUUAACAUAGAGCUUGAUGAUGAUGUGACGUCUUCACUAAACACUCUUCUAGAUACCUGUGAUGAUCAUAGUACUUCCCCUGUUCCUCAUGAGGACCGCCGUAUUGUAUGGACUUUUAAUGCCCCAACUUCCCCUGACAGUGUUCACUCGAGUCAUGAUUCUGACAGUCCUCUGAUCAGAUCUCCCUCCCCUACCUCUCCCCAAUCUCCUACAUCCUCCAUGCAGUAUUCAUGUAGUGGAGUGUAUGAUAAAAUGUGUAGUGGGCGUGAUUCGCUUGGCAGCUCUAACAGAUCUGAGAAUGUGUGCUCUAACAGCUCUAGCCUAACUAGUCCGGACACAGAUGUGCCUGAUGAACUUGAGUGGGAUGAUACGACACCAACUUUACACCUCCCUUCAUCUUAUGUGAAUAGUUUUGGUACCAAAGAUUUUCUUCCCAACGGUCAUAAUAUGGGUGGUGUAAUGACAUCUGAGAAUAGAGGGUUAGUCUCUGAUAAAAGCAAAGUAAAAAAACAGGAUGAAAAUCGAAUUGUGAUUAAAGUGGAAGGACCUGAAAAGAAUAGCCGCAGAAAACGACCCCAGCAUUUACAGAAAAGCAGUGAACCACUCUAUUCUGAUCCCCAGGACAGUAAUGAUGCUUUGCGUGAUCCUGAUAUAACCCCGACUAACACUCGCCCACCUUCCCCUGGCUCAGGCACUCUCUCCCCAGAUACCCUUGCUUACCAGGAAUUGCGUGAAUCUGAGGAUGAAAUUACAUGUCUUUCAGAAGAAGAUGGAACAGGCAAGGCUUCCAUACGAACCUCCAGCACCACCUCGCCACCUCUAAGUGAGGACGAGUCUGAUAUAGACUCACUACAUAGCUUUCACUACAGUCCCAAGGCUGUGGACAUCCCAUCUGCAGUUAGACUGGCAAAACGACUUAUUUCUCUUGAUGGCUUUAAGAAGUCUGAUGUUUCCAGACAUCUUUCCAAAAACAAUGAAUUCAGUAGAGCGGUUGCUGAGGAAUACCUUAACUACUUCGAUUUCCGAGGUGACACCUUGGAUAAGGCUCUUCGCAAGUUUUUAGACAAAUUUUGUCUAGCAGGCGAAACUCAGGAGAGAGAACGUGUCUUAGUUCAUUUCUCACAUCGAUUCUUAGAAUGUAAUCCUGGCACUUUCAAUUCACAAGAUGCUGUUCACACGUUGACUUGUGCCCUGAUGCUGCUGAACACUGACCUUCAUGGACAAAGUGUUGGGCGUAAGAUGACCUGUAAUGAAUUCAUCGAUAACCUGGCAGAUCUAAAUGAUGGAGAAAAUUUCCCCAGAGAAGUGCUCAAAUCUCUGUAUCAUGCAAUGCGCAACCAGCCAUUACAGUGGGCCACAGAUGAUGAUGGAGACACAGAAGCUGGAGGGACUAGCAAGUCUGGUGGCACAGCUGGUGACUCGCAGUCAGGUGUGGGAAGCAACCCUUUCCUAGCACCGCCCGCUGGCAACGGAAUUCAGUACAAGAAGGGAUACAUCAUGCGCAAGUGCUGCACUGAUCCUAAUGGGAAAAAAACUGCAUUUGGAAAGCGUUCAUGGAAGAUGUGGUUCUGUGUAAUUCAGGAUUUAGUGCUGUACUUGCACAAAGAUGAACAAGGAGCCAGACGUGGACCACAGCAUGCCCAGUUAGGCCAUAAUGCCAUUCGUCUGCAUCAUGCUCUUGCAACACGAGCUCAUGAUUAUGCUAAAAAGGAACAUGUCUUUCGAUUGCAGACGGCUGAUCAAGCUGAAUAUUUGCUUCAGACAAGUGAUAGCAAAGAACUUCAGGCUUGGAUAGACACCAUCAACCUGGUAGCAGCAAGCCUUUCUGCAGCUCCACUGCCUGGAGCUGUUGGUUCUCAACGCAAAUUCCAGCGGCCACUCCUUCCUUGUAGUAUCACCAAACUCAAUUUGACUGAACAAGUGGAGGACCAUACUCAGCGAUUAGCACAGCUGGAGCAGGAGCUAGAGGACCACAAGGCUCACCCUCCGGAGAAGAAUAGCAAAGCAUACUCCAUGUCAAAUUAUAGAGAAAAGGAAGCAUACCUCAUCAAGGAGGUCAAAAGAUAUCGGACGUACGUUUAUCUUCUGCGUUCCCGGCUAACUUCUCAACCACCUGGACAGCAGGGUGCAGGAGCAGGACUAGAUGUUGGGGAUCUUCCAGUGUUUGAGGCACGACCGACUGGGGAGGGGGCUGAAGGGGGGGAUCGCGGGGGCCGUGUUGUUCCGCCACCCAUCCCUGAGAGGGCGCGGCCAGGUGACAGCAUGUUGACAUCUUGCUUCUGUUACUCAUAGAAGCUUACAAGAAUUUUUACCCAUUUUGUGAAGUAAGUCAGCAGAAGAACAUCCCAUAAAAAGCCCCCCUCCAACAGUCAAGCUUCCUAGCGACCCUAUUGUGGAGAUGGAGGCUUCUGCCAAUGCUGAUGAUAGUGAUCAAAACAGUGAUGAGCUCAAACAAGAUCAUGCACAGUUAAACAAGGAUGAAAAUGAAGG